GAGAGAGAGGUCGUGUAGAAGUAACGAAGAACAAAGAAGAGAGAACGAACGACGAGAACAACGAGAGAGAGAGAGAGACUGCAAAGCUGUGAAAGUAUGUAUUCUAAUAAUUGAACGUAAGAAUGAUUUAUUAAUUUGUAUGCGUGUUAGAUCGCAGAGAGUCUGUGUGUAAGUAUAAAAUAAAACUUCACUAUUGAAUGAGCGAUUAUACACACAUCGUCUCGUCGAGAAAGUUCAAUUAUGCGUAACUCGUUGUAAAGCUCCUAGCUUUUUUUGUCCUCCUGUAGCUUUGCCAACGAAGCCCGCGAUCUGUUUCCGAUUCCUUGCUGAACGAUCACACCAUCACUCGUUUGAAGCAAUCGAAGCAUCAUCGAAUGACUGUUUUUUGGGGUAACUUGAAGUUAAUAAGCGAAAUAAAUGGUCGUCAGAGUGCUGGUUGCUACUUUGAUGGAGCGAAGUGAGUGGUAGUAAAACUUAACAAGAAAAAGAGGGCGAGAGAAAGUGGUAAAGAAGAAUGAAUGCGUGUGAAGAGUGUCACGGAUGUAGAAUGAUUCUCUGAAAGAAAAAAAAAAAGGUUCGAAAGAUUCGAAAUACUAGUGAGACCUCUGGUCCGAUCGUGCUGCGCGAGAAUCUAUAUGACUAGUUGUAGUAUGAUGAUGAUGAUGAUGAUGAUGAUGAUGAUAAUGAUGAUGAUGAUAAUGAUAAUAAUGAUGAUGAUGAUGAUGAUAAUGAUGAUGAUGAUGAUGAUGAUGCGUAUGUUACUUUUUCCCCGUAUGUGAAUGUCUGUUGCUGUUGAUUCAUUAAAAUUAAUAUUUUGCUGGCAUAAGUUAUUGAGUUGUACCGAAGUCCUCGUCCGGCCUGAACGUUCGAGUAAAAAGAAAUGAAAAGAAAAAGAAACUAUACACGAUCCAGUCCCAAAAUAUAUCAUUAUACAAUUAUUCGCAUAUAAAUUACAAAUGUAAUCCUGUGCGUGAAAAUAAUUUUAUGCGAUCAUCGUUAAUUCGAAUCUUUCGCGGCUCUCUAAUGGGAUAUCGGACGAGAGUCCUUUUGCACUGCCAUUAAUAUUGAAACAAUGCUGCAUACGUCUUGUUCAGGCGUUCAUGUAAUAAGAUCGUUCGUUUCUUCCUUAAUAUUGGAUAGGUUCGAUGAUAUCGGGAACUCGUUUCGUGUGGAUGUUUGUCGAACAGAUUCGUCUUCCUGGCCUUGCAUUGUUAUAGAAGUCGAUGAAAAAGAAAAAAAGAAUAUAUAUAUAUAUAUAUAUCGAUAGCGAUUGCUCGUUUCUAUUCGCACGUUAUUCCGUAAUAACUAUUGGAAAAUAAUAUGAAACACGGUGAUCGCGUAAAUAUUAAGUUAGUAAUUGAAUUUCGAAAGAAAGUGAUUGAUACGAACCCAACGUAAUAUUUAUCAGAGUUACUUUCGUAAGCUGCUCCAAGAUGAUAAAAUCAAACGUACAUGAAUAGAUAGAUAAAUUUGUUCAAGAACUUUGGACAUUGGACUGGGAAUAUUUCAUAUGCCUGGUCGCGCAAGGAUUACACACAGCUUCUUGAAAUAUUUGUAUUUCUUUUCUUAUCUACAAUAUUAUAUUUUUCCUAUUUUUACACGAACAUUUCGAAUCUCGAAAUGACCGAGACGUGGCGUGGGAAUGUCUCGGUAUCUUUCCACGACACAGAUAUCUUUCUUAUUUUCUCGAACGAACUUCCCCGCGAACGAAUUCACAACCUCGCGAAUUUCUAUAGUUUCGCCCCUGUUUGUGCACGAACGCGAUAUUUAGUGAGAUAUUAGGCGAAGAAUUAAGCGGACGGUCGGGCGCUCUAAUAAUAUAAUACGAAGUUACGUCACGUGGUCGAAACGUGGCUGUCUAGUGCCAUGCAUUCCAAAUACUUUUGCCAGCGGAAGCACACUGUGACCGUUCUUUCGUGAUGUUCGGAUAUAUUUUAUAGCGAUUUCAUUCUUAAACUAACACACAUUUUCCUUGAAUGCCUCGUUUACGCAAAGCUUUACGUACAGAGACACGAGAUAGCGAGCAGAGAAAGAAAGAGAGAGAGAGAGAGAGAGAGAGAGAGAGAAGAGAUUAUUAAAACGAUGAUCGCAGCGAGAUUCGAAUUGUAAUCUAGGCUGGGGGAUGAUGAUACCUCUUCAUCGAGGGAAAACCGCGUGGAACGGGGUAAACGUGUUUCGACGGAACAAACACAUAAACGAAACAAAUACAAAAAAACAUUCGAGUAAAAAUGAAAAAUAAAGAAAGAGAAGAAAGAAGAAAGAGAGAGAGAGAGAGAGGAAAAAAAGGGAACAAGAUUGGCGUGAGAAGAAGAAACGCGAAAGGACAAAUAGGGAAUUGACGAGAAACGAUUGUAAUCUAAGAGACUUUUUAUUAAAUUGAUUAUCUUUUUUACGAUUUUACAUAUCGAAGGAAACCAAUGUGUCUGCUCCACGUCUGGAUAUAAAAAUAAAUAUAUAUACGUAUAUAAUUUUUUUACUGUUGCGAACGAUAUUGCCAAACUUAGCGUAUAAGGAAGAGAAACGUUUAUCUAGCUUUAAAAAAAAAAAAAUAAUAAUAAAAAAGAAAGGGAUGAAAAAAGUAACGAAAGAGAAGAAGAGAAAAGAAAUGGGGGUAGGGAUAAAAAAAAUCGUUUCGGCGAGCCGCUCGUUACGUAGACUGGAGCCUAAACCUUGAUCUCUUUGCGAUACACAGUCGUACACACACACACACACAUACAAACACAGACAAAUAUAUAUUACUAAUGCAAAUUUCUCCUCCCGUACAUUGUUUUAUCUCGCGUUGGAUCCUUUCGAUUUCGAAGCAGAACGAAAUUCUCGCAAACGAAACACGGUGUCUUCCAAUCGCGACAAUUUCUCCUCCUACGAAAAAAAAAAUUAAAAAAAAUACAGCUUUGCCUUACAGUUUUUGUGAUGACGGGAUGCUGUCAUCGAUCUACCAAAGCCGAUAUCUCGAUGAGUUCAAAAAAAAAAAGCAAAAAAAAAAAAAACAAAAAAAAGGGAAAAAAUGGGGGAAAAAAAGGAAAAAACAAAACGAAAACGGUUUAUUCCGAGUGUCCAAAGAAGAAACAUGUAAAAUGCCGAGGCGCAAAGUGUAUCCUGUUUUUCUUUUACAUUCCACGUAGCAGAGAGAGUAGAGAGAAAGAGAGAGGACGCAAGAAAAAAAGAGCGAGAGAAGAAUGGAAGAACGAGAGAGAGAGAAAGGAUGUGGAUAUGAAAGGGGGAAUGUGAGGAAGAGAGAAAGAGAGAGGAACCACGACGGAGAGGACGGCGGUGCGCGACUUUCCGCGCGUCUCGAUAAAGAACUCGAUCGCUCGCCUGUUAUUCUGAUUCGCAAACAAUGCGUUUGAUCGCGUUCACCGUUCCUUACAGGCUAUCUCCUAAAUGGGUGGUCAAAUUUUCGAAAAACCUUCUACCGGUCGUUCAGGAUGAGAAAGCGUGUCUCCUUUUCAAUACGUCCCUUUUUGUCCUUACGACGUGUAAAGCAAAAAAAAGAAAAAUUUAGCUACCUAUUUUAGAAACAGACUGUACAUUAAUGAAAUCAACAUGCGACUAUUCUUUUCACGUGUAAUAAAAAUGUCUAUUUAAUGCGCUAUCAAAAAA
rnacentral:lncRNA from 1 species